AGUGAACGCUGGCGGUAGGCCUAACACAUGCAAGUCGAACGGCAGCACAGGAGAGCUUGCUCUCUGGGUGGCGAGUGGCGGACGGGUGAGGAAUACAUCGGAAUCUACUCUGUCGUGAGGGAUAACGUAGGGAAACUUACGCUAAUACCGCAUACGACCUACGGGUGAAAGCAGGGGAUCUUCGGACCUUGCGCGAUUGAAUGAGCCGAUGUCGGAUUAGCUAGUUGGCGGGGUAAAGGCCCACCAAGGCGACGAUCCGUAGCUGGUCUGAGAGGAUGAUCAGCCACACUGGAACUGGGACACGGUCCAGACUCCUACGGGAGGCAGCAGUGGGGAAUAUUGGACAAUGGGCGCAAGCCUGAUCCAGCCAUACCGCGUGGGUGAAGAAGGCCUUCGGGUUGUAAAGCCCUUUUGUUGGGAAAGAAAUCCAGCUGGCUAAUACCCGGUUGGGAUGACGGUACCCAAAGAAUAAGCACCGGCUGACUUCGUGCCAGCAGCCGCAGUAA
rnacentral:rRNA from 1 species